GAUACUGCGUAAGUUAGAAGCUACUACCGUUCAAAAACUAUAAAAGAGACCCUGCGUGUGUUAGAAGCCACCACCGUAAAAAUUACAGAAGCAAAAGCGCUCACCGCCUUUGUACGCUACUCCGCCGGAUCGCUGCCACUAACUCUCCCGGCCAGUAUGUCCGACCAAAACCCACAAACCUUAAAUCAAUUUUCGCCGCCGAUCAAUCUGCCCAAGUAGCUUGGUAUUUUUUCGAAGGAAAAUUCAAAAAACUUGAUUAUCUCUUUGAUUUAAGAAAAUUUAACUGCUACUGGUUGUUGAUUCUAUCUGCUCUAGUUGUAUUACUGCUCUUCCCAUUAAAAAAGAAAGAAGGAAAGUUUGAGAACUCUCUAUUGUUAGAUUUUCAUGUUCUUUUUUUUUUAAAAAAUAAAAUUCAAGAACUUGCUUUUUGAAGUUACAUGUUAUUGUUACAUGUAAAAUUCGAGAACAAAUUUUCCCGGUCAUCUCGAAGGGAAUUCUUGGAACUCAGCCAUUAGCGUUUUGAGAAAACAAAUCAAGAACUUUGUUGGUUGACUAAUAACUCAUGUUAUUCAGAUAUUGCUUUAAUUUAUUUUACAAUUUGGCCAAGCAUGGUAAAUGCAAGUGAUGAACUAGGUCAGAAAUAUUGUUAUGUGUUUUACGUAUGGUCAUCAAUUCUCAUCAACUUAUAUUGAACUUAAUGCAAAAUAAUUAGAAUCCAUGUUCCAAGUUGCUUCAUGUUAUUCAGGUCUUCAGUUUAUUUUAUAUAGUUAGUCUUAACCUAUUCUCUUGGUUAUAGCAAUUGGCUUGUUAAUGUAGCCACUCGAAUGGGAAAAGAGGGGCUGAUUCUGAUGGAUUUGUUGCAAAUUUUGUGGAAAGCGAGCAAAUUAUCCAGUUGAAAGGGUAUACAAUAUCAUUGUUCAGGUACACUUGUUUGAAGUUUGAUUAUGACUUUUUUCUACACCAACAAUCUCGUUGCUCAUGAAAUGCUCUUUUAUACAUAUGUAGAUAACUGAGGGGGAUACUUAAAAUUCUGUCACAUUAGAGUUUAUUGUUGAAUAGAUAUUGUUGUGAUAAAAUGCUUAAACUAAUAACUCUUGUAACUUGUAUUACUUUCUCUGUGUGCAAGUGGUGUGUGUGUUCCCUCUCUUUUAAUGAUAGAAGAGGGGUUGAUAAAAAAAAAAGAAGAAGCAGGAGUCGAUAGUACUAGGGUGGAGAACAUGAUGUUAUCGGAACAAAAACAGGUUUUGGUGUUUGGACCAUUCUAUAUAGAAACUUCUAAUGUAUUGCAUUUUUUGUUUGAUUUAUCCGAGUUUUAUCGUGAACUUACUGAUAAAAGAACUCUGUUCAAUUCUCAGUACAGGACCUCUCAGAUGCAAUGCACAUUUUGGUACAGCAGAGGGCAAUAAAACUGAAUUUUCUGCCUGAUUAGCACAUAUUUCAUUUGCUAGAACUUUCAUUAGUUACUUCCCUCAGGUAUAUAACUCCCUCUGUCAAAAAGGAAAAGAUUGUAUCCACGAAGGGAGUAGCACUUGGACUAUGAAGCAGUAGAAAAUAUCUCGCAUUAAUACCAUGAUAAGAAAAUAGACCUUUGGGCCUAACUCAACCCAAAAUAUAGCUCGGAGGUGAGAAUUUCCCCAAGGCCGUAUAACGAGAUCAAGUCCCCCAUCCUACCACCAUAUAGGACAACAAUAUGGAAAAAUGAAUCUUUUGGCUAGCAGAGGAAGGGAAGGUUGGGAAAUUCACAAUCUUAAAUGAAAUGCUUGCUUUGCUGAAACAUCACAUAUUAGAAUGCUUCGUAGUUUAUGUGAUUGAUUUAAGCGCACUUGUUCAUUUUUUCACUUUUUGUUGAGAUAUUCUGUUAUUUCAUUAAAAGUUUUGUGUUUUUGUUGGUCAGAGGGUCAAUUCCAUUACUAUGGAAUCAGAUUGUUGAUUUGACAUAUAAGUACAAGUUUGAGAUGGUGAGAAUUGUAGAAGCAGUUGAGUAGCACUCUUUUCUUCUUUUAGUUUCUUGAUUCUAUGACACACUUAAUGGCCCUCCACUCUUGAUGACUCUGUUGAGUAACAUUCUCCAGCCUUGAGUUGUUGAGCGACAUUACUGGAAUCUGAGAAAAAAGUACGGAAAUAUUCUAUCCAUUGAUCUUGUCAAUAAGCAUGGAGGAGGAGGACGAGGAGGAGGACGCCUAAGUGAAAAGUUUGCAAAUGCAAUGCAACAUGUAAUUGCUGCUAAUGUGAAGAUUUCUGCAGAUACUUGCACUUCAAUAUUAAGCACAUAUGCGGCCAUGUUCUUUUUGAACUCCUUUCUAUCUUCUAUGAUCAAAUUGAAGAUCUUUUCAUUAAAAAAUAGGUAUAUCUCAUCCAAGUGUAGAUAUAUUUAUAAACACACACACGUAUUUACUAUCUUGUAUAGAAUUUCAGUUUCCUCAACCCCUUGCUAGUCGUAAAUAAUGUGGGAUUACAAAAAAAUAUUCUUUUAAUUCUGAAUCUCAUCUUCCUGGAGAGGAUGAUUGUGGAGCUGGGAUGUGCGUGCACCCAUUCUAGCACAAAGCCAUAGGGCCAGGUUUGGUCUGUAAAUCAAGGAGGGUUUGGUGGAUUAACUGUAAAGAAUUUUGAACUGUUCUUGUUACUCUUUAUUCUUGAGGUCAAACUAGUUAAACCUGCCUUACCAAGAACUAGUCAAGCAAUCCAGUCUAAUGCAGCAUUUGUGCAAUUGAAGUCACUGUCACGACUUUUAUGUUACUAUGUCAUAGAAGAAACUAUUAGAUACAAAUAAGUGAAACAGAAUUAUCAUUUCAUGUUAUACAUCUCUAUAGCAAAAGGUUAAUGCCAAAACACCUGUAUGCAUGCAGAGUCAGCAGCACUAGCAGUGAGGAGAGAGCUCUUUCUCUUGCUUUUUUUAAAAUUGGGAAGAAACUGAAAAGCUAAACAUAUAGCAGACCGAGUCAGAAUAUUAUGAGAAAGAGAAAAUGAGAAAGAGAUAAGCCAAAUUAACAAUUAGUUGCAUGGUAUUGUUUAGAGACUCUAAAUUUGCAUCCAUCAUAAAGUAAUUAUUUCUCUUUUGGUUGUUUGUAAAGCAAGGAGGAACAGAUACGCUUCCUCUACUACAUCUGUUUCUAUAGUAUCUAAUUGUUGUUACACCUGAAGGCAUGGUGCUUUCGAUGCUGAAGAAACUAUUAUCUCAAACCCCAACCUUGACAAAAGCUUCUAACUCUGUGAGAUUUUUCUUAAUAUCUGUGUUAAAGCUUCUAUGAUGGAUAAAUAUUAAGCUUCUUUACCUUGACCUGUUUAUUCUUGUACCUUAAAAACUAUUUGCAGUGUGGGCUAACCAUGGAGAUGAUAUACGCAUCCCGUAUUCUGGUACUCCAGCUUUAAAGGGAGAUUUUGUCAGGCAACAACUUUCUUGUUCUGCUAAAAGAAGAUUAAAUGAAGGCUGCAUUAGUGCAAAGCAUAUUUUCGAAGAGUGCAAUAAUAUAAAUAUAUACGUAGUAGGAUUCAAAACCCUGACAGUUCCUAAAUUAACGAACAUUAUAUAACCAUCAUUGACAGUGGUACUAGUUUUUGGCCUACUACAUUCAUAUCAAGAGUAAGAAUCUGGGAUUGGAUCUUUAAAUGCUAACUGCAUAAUUCCAUGAUAAUCUAUCUCUACUACAUUCACAUAUCAAGAGUAAGAAUUUGGGACUGGAUCUUUAAAUGCUUGCUGCACAACUCCAUUCAUAAUCUAUCUCAAGAUUAUGAUGGAUAUAACAUACAACUAAAAAUGUUGUACUCUACAAAUUGAUAUUAUGACCUCAAGCUUUUUCUUUCGUCGAUCAAUGUCACUAUAAUAUCUACAUUGUUGUUUGAUAUGUAGAUGUGGUCACAGAACAUCCCAGGGGGGUUUCGCUGACAGCUGGAAUGCCCUAACACGAUACUACUUGAGCAAUUUUGUCGGUAGUACUAAAUAGGUACUUAUGCUUCUUACCAGCAUUUAGUUGUUACCUAGUUUUGUACAUUAUAUGAAGUUGGUAGCGUUCUUUAUGCUCUGUCACUUGCAACUUUCAUACUACUCUGCCAGUAGAAAUUUUGGAAAGCAUUCUUUAAGUAGUACUAAGCUUCAUGUAUGCGAGCCAUCAACGAAGUAUUAACUAAACCUAGUAUUAUCAUUUGUAGUGUGCUGCCAUUUUUUUUUAUUAGUUUCUUGUAGUGGGUGGGUAAGGUUUGGGGGGUGGGGGAGAACAAAUUGUGGAAGGUUGGUUAGUGGUGUUAUGCCAUUGUGUAGUUUUAUCUCUUUCUUUUCUCUUAGGCUACUUUUGGAAAUGUGGGUAGGAAUUCAGUUGUUGAAUUAUGAGAUUAGGAAAAAGAGGUGCAGGGCCUAGAGUUGCAAAUCGACACUUGUACUUCCUACCCCUCAGCCAAGAAGCUGACUGGAGAGUGCACUGUUAGGAUAGAGAUUCGAUCUUCUCAGGAUAUUCUUUGUGGAAAAGUGCUCUGAAAAGCAUGAUCCCGAAUUCAGAUUCCUCAGUCAGAUCGGAAGUUCAAGUCGGUCAAUUGAUGGCUCUCUUGCUCAUCGCAGUCUGUGUAAACUGGUAAAUACAGAAACUCUUCACAACCCCUUUCAUCUAAUGUUUUACUUACAGAAGAUGCUUUUCUGAACAACAAAUUCAGUGCUUUCUCUAGUUCCAGUUAUAAAUCUGACUGCUGGUCAGGUUCAGGAUGGGAUGAUCAGUCAUUUAGGUGAUGUCACUUCAAAAAGCCAACAAGUUAAUGUGUGAACACCAGACCCGUCCAUAGAAUCGCCUUGAAGAUGAUUAUAGUGUUGAAUUCGAAGUAGCUAAUGAUGUUAACCAGGCCUUAAAUUAAAUGUUUCCUAGAAGCAAGGAAAUAUAUUUUGAGAACUUCUCCCGGUGCAAAAUUCAGAGCAAGGCAUCGCAGAGGUCAGAAUUUUUGUUGGAGAUUCGGAGGAAAAAGCUUAAUUAACCAAUUAGACAUUCUUGAUGAAGAUGAUCAUCUUAUGGAUUUCGUUGUACAGACUAAAAAUUAUGGCUCUGACCAGCCAUUAUUGUCCAGACCAUCUCCUCUGCCAUUAGAUCCUUUGCUCGAGUCUGGAUGAAGAUGAUCAUCUUAUGGAUUUCGUUUUACAGACUAAAAAUUAUGGCUCUGACCAGCCAUUUUUUGUCCAGACCGUCUCCUCUGCCAUUAGAUCCUUGGCUCGAGACCAGUUUUCAAGAUGUUAUUCUUACAUCUCUGAAAAUGGGAUUGGAACUUCUGUUGAACAUGAAGUUGUUUUCAAGUAUAAUUUUGGAAAGAACGGAACAUAGUCUCUUGGUCCCUGCCAUAAAUUAUUUGGAAAAAGAGGACUGCUUGUUCCCAAAUCCUGCAAAGUUUGAUCUCAAUUUUUAUGCUUUUUCUAGAAAGGAUAUAGCCAGUAUAGGGGGACAUGAUCCAUGGGAUGUUUUGGUUCAGGUUCUUCUGAAUUCUAUUAUGAUGGAAAUGAUUUGAUACAUGUAUUCUCGUGGUGAAGAGAAUGGAUGGGAACUCACAUAAAUGAUUUGAUACAUGUAUUAUGAUGGAAAUGAUUUGAUACAUGUCAAGAUUAUUUGAUAACACGGGCAAUGCUCCCCUCUAGGGUGGAUGGGAACUCACAUAAAUGGAUUGAUGUUGGAAAUAGAGGCGAAACAGGUAAGCUACAGGGAAGAAGAUGAGUAGAAGAAGCCAUUGCUUUUCGAUUUUACCUAGAGAAAAAGAAGUUCUUUGCCACGAGUGAGUCUACAAGAAAGGCAGCAGGAAAUAACAAUAUUAAGAUUGUUCACGAUGUGCCUCUCAUGCCUGGUAAUUUGUGCUUGAGUGCUUUGACCAUGCUUUUGCAGGUCAUUCCUGAUGAAAUUGGUUACCAAUUACUACACAACUACACUGACCAAAUUUAAAACGUGGGAUGGAUCUGCAACAUUUAUUUUCAAGCUUCAAGAUUAUUUACCAGAUCAAUCUUAGAAGGUUGAGUCUAGCAGAAACCCGGGAACAACCUCUCUACCUCAAAGGUUGGGGUAUGGUCUGAGUACAUUCUAUCUCCAGACCCCACUUGUGGGGUUACACUGGUGUUUGCUGCUCUUCAAGGUUGUGUCUAAGAAACAGUUGCUUUGGAACUCAAGCUUAGUAUACUUUUACUACUCAAGCGGGCUCGAUUUAGACUUGAACUUGAAAAGUCACAAUUUUAUUGGUCGUGACAGACGAAGCUUGAAAUUAUCCCUGCAGUGCAGAUAUCUGGUUUGCGAUCAUCACAUUGAAAGAUAAUCUGGAUCUGGAGCACGAUACAUGUAUACAGAUUUAAUGAAGAAUUGUACGUACCAAAUGUAAUAUUAGCUAGAAUGUAAAGAAAUGCUAAGAUAAUGACUGUAACAUCAUUUAACUGUUGAGAUGAUUAAAUUUGUAUGUUCCACCUGUGA